rnacentral:rRNA from 1 species
UACGUAGGGGGCAAGCGUUGUCCGGAUUUAUUGGGCGUAAAGCGCGUGUAGGCGGCCAGGUAGGUCCGUUGUGAAAACUCGAGGCUCAACCUCGAGACGUCGGUUGAAACCGUCUGGCUAGAGUCCGGAAGAGGAGAGUGGAAUUCCCGGUGUAGCGGUGAAAUGCGCAGAUAUCGGGAAGAACACCCGUGGCGAAGGCGGCUCUCUGGGACGGUACUGACGCUGAGACGCGAAAGCGUGGGGAGCGAACAGG